rnacentral:lncRNA from 1 species
CAAAAAAGCUGUAGUUUUUUCAUUUGGCUUGAAGUCAGUAUAGAGAAGUUAUUUAAAAUAAGAUUUUCGUCCCACGGAAUUGUCCCCUUUGUUAUUGUAUAUCCUUCAGGUUUAUGGGACAGCACUAGAGGAAAGUGACAGCCUCAGAGGACCUUCAGAUGGUGUCCUGGGUAGCUGAAACUGUGGAAAGCAAAACCGUGGAUAAGGGGGAACUACUAUACUGAAAAUGUACAAAACAGAGAAGAUUUCAUUGAAGAAGUCUGCUGUUUCUGGAAUGGGAAAUUAAGGUAGGAAUUUAGGAAAACGUUCUGAAUUUCAAUGCCACAUGGCAGGGUGGUGAGGAGGAAGCUGGAGCCAGGGUUCAAGUAACUAAUGAGUCUCUCAUCUUCUAUAACAUCAUUGGUUCUUUUGAAGCACAACUGGAACAGUUAUCGACUGUGAUUCUUGCUGGGACCAAUAACCUUCUACAAAUACCAACAUCAGUUUUUAUGAAAGGCAAAGAGCUGACAGGUUUACAGACUGCACCCUAACAUUAAGCUACCAGGAGAAACUUCCAAGUUACCCUCUUGUUACUUGUGCCCCAGAGGUGAACACUAUAAACUGCUACAGCAUGCAAUUUAGGGAGAGGUUCGUGAAGAAGUGAUUGGGAAAGAGAGCAAGUCUUGGUUGGACAGUGUGGUAAGAUUCAAUAGAAAUGUGAGGAGGAAAACUGCAAUUAUUUCUGAACCUUCCCAUCAGCCUUGUCUCUGAUAGAAUUGGCCUGUUGUGGACGGGCUUUGUGUAGAUUAGAGAAAGAAGAAGAUGCUCUUUUGGUGUAAUUGUUCAGCUAAAUCAGUGUGAGACCAAGGACCCUGGGGCUCCUCCAGUCAUUGCAGCUGUAUCACAACUACCCUGACAGGUGAGUUGUACUACCCUCAUUUUACAGAAGAUGAAACUAAGGUUCAGGAUGGUUAACCAACAAAGGUCACAUGCUAAUAAAUAUUAAAGCUUAGACUUCAGGCCUGACUUCAUUGAUUGGGCAUUUUAUCAACUGUAUAUAUUUAGAGUUCUAAGUCCAUUGUUGAAAACUUGAGAUUAAUUCCAGAAAGAUUUGGAGAUACAUGACAUGAAAGGAAGGAGGUCAUAGUUUUUAGGUCAAAUGAUGUAACAAAGUCAACAUGUCACACAAUUUUCAUUCACCUCAUGCUGACCUUUUUAAAUGAAAUGACAUGGGUAAUCAGGGUCACCCUUCCUGGAACUAGGUAGAAAGAAGUGAUGUUUCCUUUAGCUAUUUAAGGAUCAGCCUCCUACAUUCAUGGGGAGCUUAUUAUACAGGGCAAUGUGACAGGCAAUGGGGAUAUAAAAU